UACGUAGGGUGCAAGCGUUAAUCGGAAUUAUUGGGCGUAAAGGGCUCGUAGGCGGUGUGUCGCGUCGGCCGUGAAAACCUGCAGCUUAACUGUGGGCUUGCGGUCGAUACGGGCAGACUAGAGUUCGGUAGGGGAGUCUGGAAUUCCUGGUGUAGCGGUGAAAUGCGCAGAUAUCAGGAGGAACACCGGUGGCGAAGGCGGGACUCUGGGCCGAUACUGACGCUGAGGAGCGAAAGCGUGGGGAGCAAACAGG
rnacentral:rRNA from 1 species